GAUGAUUGGGGAUAAGGUUUCUAACAACACUGGGAUUAGCCCAGGUAUUGAAAUUCAACAGUCUUGCUUUUACCAAAUCCCUACACUUUAUGUUUUAGAGUGACGUAAUCUUUAGUAGAAUGACGCGCUAUACCAUAAUGGUAAUAACACUUGGAGUUGAGGUCAUACCAUUUCGGGUAAGGCAGCUUCAAUGGCUCCACAUAAACAGGGGCAAAAGGAUAGGCUUUAACCAAUUGUGAACACAAAUUGGUAUAAGACAUUAGGAUCGGGUCAAACUAAGGCUUUUUUCGACUAUUAUUGCUUUGUGGGUUCUUUUCAUUGUUGGUUGAAUUAGUUGGCUAUGUUAGUAGUAUAUGAGUGAAAAUAGGCAAUUAUGGAUGAAAAUUUGGCUUGUAUGGUGGUUGUUGGGAUGCUUGGUAAUGAUAUGGUUGUUAUGUAACUUGAUUGGUGGUUGGAUAGAAAGUGGGGCAUUGUGGUCUUGAGUUUUAUGGGACAAAAUGGGUGGAAUGAAAGGUUUCCAAUAGUCAUUGCAUGUGUCUCUUGCUCUUUCUUUCUUGGAUUCGUGGCCCUUUUUCGUGUUAAAAGUUUCAAGCCCUUCAAUUUUGCCUGUUUUAAUGGCAUUCUCAAUUGUUCCUUCUGAAAUCACCUUGUCAGAAAUUCUUUGUAGCAUUUCCCACAGUUGUCAUAAUAUGGG
rnacentral:lncRNA from 1 species